rnacentral:rRNA from 1 species
UACGGAGGUGGCAAGCGUUGUUCGGAAUUACUGGGCGUAAAGGGCGCGUAGGCGGCAUGGCAAGUCAGGUGUGAAAGCCCCGGGCUCAACUCGGGAACUGCAUCUGAAACUGCUGUGCUUGAGUCCUGGAGGGGGUAGUGGAAUUCCCAGUGUAGCGGUGAAAUGCGUAGAUAUUGGGAGGAACACCGGUGGCGAAGGCGGCUACCUGGACAGUGACUUACGCUGAGGCGCGAAAGCUAGGGGAGCGAACUGG